rnacentral:tRNA from 1 species
ACCGAAGUGGCGAAAUAGGUAGACGCAGUUGAUUCAAAAUCAACCGUAGAAAUACAUGUCGGUUCGAUUCCGAUCUUCGGUA